rnacentral:rRNA from 1 species
CCUACGGGAGGCAGCAGUGGGGGAUAUUGCACAAUGGGGGGAACCCUGAUGCAGCGACGCCGCGUGGGUGAAGAAGCGCCUCGGCGCGUAAAGCCCUGUCAGCAGGGAAGAAAAUGACGGUACCUGAAGAAGAAGCCCCGGCUAACUACGUGCCAGCAGCCGCGGUAAUACGUAGGGGGCAAGCGUUAUCCGGAUUUACUGGGUGUAAAGGGGGCGCAGACGGCGAUGCAAGCCAGGAGUGAAAGCCCGGGGCCCAACCCCGGGACUGCUCUUGGAACUGCGUGGCUGGAGUGCAGGAGGGGCAGGCGGAAUGCCUAGUGUAGCGGUGAAAUGCGUAGAUAUUAGGAGGAACACCAGUGGCGAAGGCGGCCUGCUGGGCGUUUACUGACGCUGAGGCUCGAAAGUGUGGGGAGCAAACAGGAUUAGAUACCCUGGUAGUC